GUGGCUCUGACUGGCAGCCAGGCUUGCCAGCACUGCUCUGCUCGAAGCAUCCUGCAAAGGCCGUGCUUAUCUACUUGCUUUUGUAAGCUUCAUCAGUUCUUCCAAUUUUCACCCUGAAAAUGAUCCUUCAAACUCAGCCGCUGGAUAAGACACCCUGAAAUGGACACGCCUAAUGUGAAACAUAGGUGCUUGAUUGGGUUGGGCUAUGAUCGUCUGUAGAAGGUUGACUAAAUGGGUGUCCAGUGUCUUAUUUGUAGCUCAGGGAGACAACCUGCUGGCUACAGUGGUAAGAGCUGAUGUCUCCUCCAGGUGCUUUUGAUGGGCCAGCUUCUCGGCCAUUUGUGGCUGCAGCCAGUGGAAAAAGGACUUCACCAUUGCUUAUAAACCAUGAAUCAGUGUCCGCCUUUGCUAACGGCUUCCUUGGUUUGCCUAUUCAAACAUUGCAUAGGAAUGGAAUCAUGGAACACAUGAUAUUUCGUGACUGCCUUCUUUCACUUGGCAUAAUGUUUCCGAGGUUCAUCCACGUUGUAGCGUG